rnacentral:misc_RNA from 1 species
GGAAGGAUCAUCAAUAGUCCAAGGUCAAGUCAUCCGUUGUCCGUCCGUCCGUCCAGGUUGCGUAAUGGUAACGGGGAGGAGGAGGAUGAGGAUGAUAUUGAAUAUACCACCUUCUUGUGAAUAGUCUUGUUGGUUAUAUGGUAGACUGGGGGUGGUGGUGGUAUGGUGUGGCGUGACAUGGGAUGUGUAAGGGAGUGGUUGUGUGGUAACGGUGGUAUGUGUAUACAUGCUGUCGUUGCCUACCGUCAUUGCUAACGCAUUCCGCUGCUAUUACUACUACUACUAUUACCACUACUCCCAGUUGACCGUUUGUUUUACGCAACUACACUAUGAUCUACAAUAGUAAUGGAUUAUACUGGCAGGUUAUUGUCAGUCAAAUUAUAUACAUACAACUUAUAGCAAUGGAUCUCUAGGCUCUGGCAUCGAUGAAGAACGCAGCGAAUUGCGAAAAUUGGUGUGAUUCGUAUCCACGUGAAUCAUUGAGUUUUUGAACGCAUAUUGCACCAUUUACCUUUGGCUAAUGGUAUGCCUGUUUGAGCGUCAUUAAAAUACUCUUUCUGGUACGUUUUCCCGUUGUGUGGAAGGGUAGUAGAAAGGAUCAUGGGCUGUCCAAGGUAUAGUUAUGCGUGUGUCAUACAGGUGUAUACAUACGUGUAUGUACUUGGUAGUUUGAAAUGUAGGUAACGGCAGAUUGUUGUCAUGGUCUUGGAAAAGGGCUGGUAGCCGUGUUUAUUCACGGCAGCAUCCGUUGCUAUAAAUUCACUGAUAAGUUAGUGGGCCGUCAUACCCUCCGAGAUCAGUUGAAUGUGUAAUGGUUGUGCUAGUCUGGUCGUUGAUAAACGACAUCCAUAUCAUACCUCUGUCGAGUAAUAUCCGGAAAUAGUACCAGUAACAGGGCGUUAGUGCACAUGUGCACGGUAUAGACUUGUCUGUGUGUUUAUAUUAUAUACCCACAGGUUUGGAUGUACAGUUGCCGUUGUCAUUAUCUCUCUUAUCCGUUACUGUGUCCGUCAACUUUUUGACCUCAAAUCAGGUAGGAGGACCCGCUGAAUUUAAGCAUAUUAAUAAGCGGAGGAAAAGAAACUAACAAGGAUUCCCCUAGUAACGGCGAGUGAAGCGGGAAUAGCCCAAGCCCUUAAUCAAAGAGGGUAUUUAACCCACUUUGAGUUGUAGCUUGAAGGUUGGCACUUUGACAGCAGGGCUGAUAUAAGCCUUUUGAAUAGGGCGCCAGAGAGGGUGCAAGCCCCGUCUUUUGUUGGCAAACUGUCUGUCAGUACAUGUGUCAUCUGGCGAGUCGGGUUGUUUGGGAAUGCAGCCCUAACUGGGUGGUAAAUUUCAUCCAAGGCUAAAUAUUGGCCAGAGACCGAUAGCGAACAAGUACCGUGAGGGAAAGAUGAAAAGCACUCUGGAGAGAGGGUGAAAUAGUACGUGAAAUUGCUAUAAGGGAACCACUUGCUUAUCUCAAGUCAUGACUUUAUAGCUGUGACGGCUAACACCAGUUUGGCCUCUCGGACAGCCAGUACGGGAAGGUAGGCAGGGCUUUCGUGGUCUUGCUGUUAUAGCUCGUAUGAUAUGGUUUACGCGGGGGUUAGACUGAGGCAUUCCUGCAGUGCGUGCCUGAUAAUUAUUAUCGGGCGGCUAGCUGUACUUGCUCAAUGUGGGCACUGCCUAGACAGCAUGCUGACUAGGCGUGAAAUUCUCGCGGCGACUCAAGUGCGUGUGUAGACCCAUUAGCACUAAGGGUGUUGGCUAAAGGAUAGUAAGUGACCCGUCUUGAAACACGGACCAAGGAGUCUAACAUAUAUGCAAGUGUUUGGGUGACUAAACCCGUACGCGUAAUGAAAGUGAAGAGAUAUUUAUUAGUGGUGCCAGGCUUCUCCCUUACGGGGGUUAGCUGCAGCAUCGGCCAACCGUGAGGCCUUCCGUGCCAAAGGUUUGAGCAAGAGCAUAUAUGCUAGGACCCGAAAGAUGGUGAACUAUACCUGAAUAGGGUGAAGCCAGAGGAAACUCUGGUGGAGGCUCGUAGCGGUUCUGACGUGCAAAUCGAUCGUCGAAUUUGGGUAUAGGGGCGAAAGACUAAUCGAACCAUCUGGUAGCUGGUUCCUGC